rnacentral:lncRNA from 1 species
CAGUUGGUGCGGUCCAUGGUGAGCUCAUCAUGGCGAUUGAAGGUGGAGAGAGAACCUGUGGAGUACAUGAACUUACCUGUUUUAGAAAAGUAUCUCCAGAGGCAGUUGGGUUUUUGUCAGCUGUUUGGGUGUUUAUUAUCCUGAUGCUGCUUCUUUUUCUCUAUAUUAAUAAGCAGUUCUGUUUUGAAAAUGUUGGAGGGCUUCCAGAUCUUGGUUCAGAAUACAGUACAAGGAACAAUUCACAAGAUAAAAUGUGUCUGUGACUCCCAAAUGAGCGUGUCAGAAAUGUCUUGUAGUGAAAGUACAUCCGCAUGUCAGUCUCUCGAAGACGGGUCAGUUCCAGAAAUUCUCAUUAGCCUGCUUUAUAAUGCCACAAAUGGGAGACUAUCAGCAGAAGUGAUAAAAGGCAGCCACUUAAAAAAUUGGGCAGCAAACAGACCACCCAAUACAUAUGUUAAGUUAACUCUACGGAAAUCCACGGAUCAAGAGAUGUCCAAAUGCAAGAUAUCCAUCCGCAGAGGGCGGCCAAAUCCAGUAUACAAGGAAACUUUUGUUUUCAAAGUGACCCUAUUUCAGCUUUCUCAUGUGACACUCAUGCUGUCUGUGUAUAACAAAAGCAGCAUGAGAAGAAAGAUGAUAGGCUGGAUUUAUUUAGGUCUCAACAGCUCUGGAGAAGAACUCAAUCACUGGACUGAAAUGAAAGAGUCAAAAGGACGGCAAGUACGUAGAUGGCAGGCGUUGCUAGAGUCACGAUGAAUACAAUAAGCAAACAGUUACCAUCCAAUGCAGCAUAUUUCUAAUUACAACAUUACUGUUUCUACCAAGUCGCCAUUGGAAGAGCUGUUCUUUGAAGAAUCAUAUUCAACCUUUUACCAAAAUGCUUUAAGUUCUAUGGAAAGAACAUCUAAUACUGAGAUAAAUGAAGAAAAUAUGUGUAUCUGAUAGAGCUUGUUUGGGAAACUGAGAAACGUACAUUAUCAUUGUUAAACUAACAGUCCUCCAGAAAUUUAAUAAGAUGUUUUUGAUUUGAAGUUAAUUUUAAUUUAGCAAAAGAGCCGGUAAUUUUAUGAAAAAUCAAAAUUAUAAGUGAUUUUAAAAACCAGAGUUUUAGUCGCAAUAUAAUUUUAAUAUCACUCUACAUAUUAUUUAUAAAACAUAGUUUGGCCAGUCCCUGGUGUUUGUAAUGUUCUUUAAUAUGAAAAAGUAGUCCUCCAACCCUAUCGUAAGUCAUAUCUAAUGGCGAAGGGUUUCAGUCACAUUGAAAAUUGUUUUAUUUCAGACAUGUUCCUUUUGUGCACUUAGUUUCAUUGUGCCUCAGUUCCUCUCUAUAGCACUAAAUCUAAGUGCAGACAAGCAUUCGUUUUCAUACAGGAAUGUUUUUAAUAUACAAAGUCACUGUGCUGGUCCCUUGCAAGUCUUUAGACAGGUUGUACUGUAGAACUACGUAACUUUCUGUUGAAAGCACUUCCUGUAUUCUUGUAUUUCAAUGUAGGAAGCUAGUAGAGCAAGACUUUACUUUAAAAUUUCUUUCAGUGAUUGACUCUUCAAAAAUUGCAGUAAUGUGAAAAUACAUUUUUUUUUACAAACUGAAAACACAGCAGAUAAGCUGUAGAAAAUGAAAAACGAUUCAAUUUUAAUUUUCUGCUCUGAGUAUUUAGUAACCAACACUGCCUAAAGCAGGUAGCAUCCAAAAUAAGAAACUAUUCUCUCUCUAAAUCUUCACUCUUACUUCAAUUUACAUUUGUGAUAUAAAGACUAUGCAGUUCUCAGUUUAAAUCGGAACAUCAUGUUAAAAACAGUUCUGAGAUUCCUUACGAAGUUUCCAAUAACUUGUGACUAGACUUUAUGAAAUUUACGGAUAAAGUUCUUCAACAUGAUGUUAUCUUGUGCCUUUCAUGUAAGUUGAAUUUGCUCAUACGGCUUGAAAGUUGUAUUUGCAAAAUUAAGCCUUCGAUUUUUAUAAAUGCAACGAUUCCUCAGAACAGUGUCGCAAGAUCUUUAUUUCCUCCGAAGUAUGUAAAAGUUGUAUGAUGUGCUAAUUUUGUAAAUGGCAAGUCACUUUCAUUUGUUUUUAUAUUUAGAAACUCUAAUUAAUCAGGAAUAUUAUAAGCUGUUUUCUUUAUAAUUUUGCUUCUUACCUAAUGUAUCAUUUUAUGCAUAUACUUUAUUAAAUAGAGUAUGUUUUAUAUAUAUUAAAAAUAGUUUCUUUUUUCUCCUUCUCAUUUCUAGUUCAAAUAGACAAAAACAUACUAUUUACCAGUUACUAAAAAGCAGUAUAUCAUUGCUCCUAGUCCCAAAAAAGUACUAUAUAUUAUUAUAAACUAGAACUUGUUAUUACCAUAAUAACAAAACAAUGCAUAGAUGUUACUUCAGCUUGGAUAUACUGAAAGGCCUUAAAAGAAAUCCAAAAAGACCGUGAAAUUCUGUAUUUUUUCAUUUAAAAAAAGCAGCUCUAUGCAUUCAUACACAUGAAUUAUAAGAAAAAAUACAAAAGGUAUAUUGGAUGACAUGAGGUUUGAGAAUGUGUUUUACAGGGCUGCAUUAAAGGGAAAAAUUCAUAUUUUAUUGUUACAUCAAUGAGCUUUCUCCAGGAUUUUUACAAUAAACGAGUAGGAAUUAGAACCUGAA